UACGUAGGUGGCAAGCGUUGUCCGGAUUUACUGGGCGUAAAGAGCGCGCAGGCGGUCGUUCAAGUCGCGUGUGAAAGCCCCCGGCUCAACUGGGGAGGGUCACGCGAUACUGAUCGACUCGAAGGCAGGAGAGGGUAGUGGAAUUCCCGGUGUAGUGGUGAAAUGCGCAGAUAUCGGGAGGAACACCAAUGGCGAAGGCAGCUCGCUGGGACGGUACGUGACGCUGAGACGCGAAAGCGUGGGGAGCAACAGGG
rnacentral:rRNA from 1 species